UAGUAUUUCAAAUUAUAUAAUAUUGAUUUACUGGUAAACCCAGUUAAAUAUUACUAAUAAAACACGUUAUAACUACUUUCUUUACCUAGCAAAAUUAAAGACGCAACAAUCGUAAAACUUAUUCUUAAAUUAUCCGAUAUAAAAUAUAAUUCUACUAUAACAAACCUUUUUUCAUUAUAAUAAAGAAAUAAUUUAAAAUGGCGUGUUUUGUACCCAUUAACCUAAUACAAAUAUUUUCAAUUUGCUUAAUCUUUCACGAAAAAAAUAAAAUAUUAUUAUAAACUUAUAUGAAAUAUUAUUACGGAUACAAAUAAAUUAUUAAUAAGCGAAUUCGGUAAAAAAACUUACAUUAUAAAUUAAAUAUUAAAAACCCGUAUUUAUAAUAUUUUAUCCGCAAAUAAACAGGCAAACCAAGAGAUUUAAUUAAAUUACUAAUUAAUAUUACAAAUAUUACGCCAAAAACUAAGAAAUAAUUAGGUACAAAUUGUACCCAUAAUAAAAAAUAAGUAUUAAUACGCAUACCAGAAUAUAACAAACAUAUUACCUAUAAUAAUAUUUAUGAAUAAAAAUGAAGUUUUUUAUUUAAAACCAGGAAACCUAUAAUUAAAAAAGGGAUAAACAAUAUAUUUACAAAAUAAACCAGGUUUAAAAGAUUUUAUUCAUUGGAUAAUAACCUGCUAAACAAACUGGAUGUAAAUAAUGGAACGAUACAAAAAUAUUAUAGUAGAAAAUAUAAAUUUGUACCAGUUAAACGGGGCGAUUGGAUAAAAUUAUUUAUUUGCAAUAUUAAAUUUUUGAAAACACAGGAUUUAAAUCCAAAUAUAUAGCAAUUGUUAAAAGGUUUUACAGCGUUGGAAAAUAAAUAUAUAGUUUGGUCUUACUAAUAUAAUUUAACCAAUUAUAUAAUAUUUUCUUAAUAUAGUUUUUUAAAUUAUUAAAACGCAAACACUUAAAUAAUUCCAAAAUUAUAUUCUGCCCAGAAUUUACAAAAAAGAAAUUAGGAAGACGAAAAAAUUGAAGAAUAUAUAGUAAAAAUAACAUUAUAUUUUAUCUUAGCUAAUAAUUAAACUGGCCAAUGCAAUAUAAUUAAUAAAUACCCGAAAACAACUUAUUUGCAAAAAACAUAAUAUAUUAAUUUCUACAAAAUAAUUUAAGAAAGUUAAAUUAAAUGGAGAAUUAUUAUUACAAAAGAAAAAUGCAGAGAUUAAACGGACAAAACGCAAAAGAGGGAAGUUUCUCCAAAUUUAAUUAAUAUUGACAAAUUAUAUAUUAAAAAAACAACCACUAACCCCAGAUAUAAUUUUAACAUUUAUCAGGCCAUUUGAAAGGCGCACGGAAACGCUUUUUAAAAAUACCCAAAUUGAAAAUAACUCCCAUUUAAUAUUACCCAAGAGAAUAAACAAAAAAUACGUAUUACGUGCAAAUUUAUUAGUGCCUAAACACUAGCGUAUUAACCUAGGGGCUGGGGUUUUGCUAAACCUGUAAAUUCGCGCUACGUAAACGUAAUAAAAAUGCCGCCUAUAAAUAAAAGCUCCUUAAUUUUAAAAGUUACAAAUUAAUUCUAAGUUUUUAAAAAUUAAUUUUCAAUUCGAAUAUUAUUAUUAUAAUACCAUAAUGGAUUAUUAUACACUGUAUUAUUACCUUAUAUUCUGCUGGUUAACACAUAUUUGAUUUCUACCCGAUCCCCGGUGGUAAAUAUAAACAAAAUCUGAAAUUAUGUAAAUAAUAAACCAAAGUUUUGAACCAAUUUAAAAUUAGAAAAAAGCUAAAAUUUAAAUGGUUAAAAACAAAAAUACGCAAAAUGAAAUUUUUCCAACCCCUAUUAUUAUAUUUAUUAGCGAAUUUAAUACUCCAAUUUUACCCCAACGUCCCAAAUUUUAAAUUUCGCUUCGGUUAUAAAAUUCACCUGAAAUUAUUAUUAAAAUGGCCAUGAAUAUGCGUGCAAAACCUAAUUUAAUUGAAAAGUAUUUAGGUUAUAAUAUUAAUUAUAUUUGCCAAUUUAUAAAAUACAAAUUAUUAUUAAUAUAAAAUAGGAAAAAAUUAUUAUUAAAGAAAUUUAUUUUGUACGGUUAUAAAUUACCAACUUUUAAUAUAUUUUAAAAGGAUGGAACGUUUAUAUAUUAUUAUUUUGAAACAAAGGGAAAACCUUUUUAUUAUUUGGGGGAAACCGGUUUGGGUAAAUAUAAUUAUUAUUAUAAAUUAUCUUACGCACUAAUGGUAAUUUAAUAUAAUUAAAAAAGAUUUCAAAUAUAUAAUAACACCAGAAUAUUUUUCUCUUUAAUUAAAAAAUAUGCACGGGUUUAUAUUGUUAUUUUAAUAAAGUAUAUAUAUUUUAUUUUACCCGACGAAAGUGAGGAAAAGAACCUUUUUUCAAACGAAAAAUUAUUAUAUUACAUAAGUAUUAAAAUUGCAAAAAUAUUGUUCAGAAAAAGCAAUUGAAAAUAUAUUUAUUAAUAUCAACGCGGUUUAUUUUAUUAAUUUAAUUUAAUAAAGAUAUUCCCGUAUUUGCUUAUAUAUCUUCUACUACCAGAGGAAUUCGCCGAAUAAUAAAAAGAUAAUUAAAACAAAUUAAAAUUUAAACGUAUUUGCAAAUUUAACCAUUUUGCAAAAAUAUUUAUUUUUUUAUUCCCAAAAAAGGUGUUUUGCGUUUUUGCGUGGAUUAUUACGAUUUAAAUUAGGUUACCCAAACAAACAGGUAUUUUUUAUUUUUAAUUGCAAAUAUUGUAAACCGCGUGCAAAAUUCGCAAUAAUAUACUAAAUUGGCUAUUUAAAAUAUAUAUUAUAAAGUUUGUAUUAGGGAAAGACAUAAAUGAAAAAUUGCUUUUCGCAUUUGUUAUAAUUAUUUUAAAUAUAUUAUUAUAUUUUUCAGCUUUAGCAACGCCCUAACAAUCUUCUAAAACUAUAUAAAGGAAAGAUUGGGAAAUUUUAUAAAUUAUUAUUGCGUUAUAUAGUUGGAUAAUAUUUUGAUUUUUCCUUUAAUAAAAAUGUUAUAAAGGAUAUAUGUACGGAAAAUUUUGGAAAAACUUAGGGGAGCGAGCCUUUACGUCAAAUUAUUUAAAUGCGAAUCUUAUAUGCAAAAAACUGAUUUUGGAUUAUAUAAUUAAAAUUUAAUAAAUAUUUAUAAAUCCACGCAGGGUAACCGUUAUUCAAAAAUAGCGUGCACUUAGAUUAAGUUAUAAUAUUUAGGUUUUUUAGGGCCUUCGUAAUUUUUAUCGUUUUUUUAUUUGUCGUUAUUUAUCCAUUGUACGUUCUUUAUUAUAUUUGUUUAAAAUUAUAAAAAAAGUAUAAAAACCCGGAAAUAUAAUAUUUUCAAAAAUAUAACAUUGUUUUAAUAGCGUUUAAAAAAUAAAAAAUUGCGUUUUUUCAAGCGUUUUUAUUACGUUGUUACAAUCUUUUAUUUUUUAUAUAUUUGGAAAUUUAUAUUUUAAUAAAUACGUAGGGGGCGAUUUUAUUACAAUUUUUUAAACAUGGUUGGCACUUUGCCAUUUUCCAAUCCAAAAAAUGGUUUGGAACCUAAUUAAAGUAGUGUACCCCGGAUUAGAAAAAGAAUCUUAUAAACGAAGUUUUUAAAUGUUGGAAAUAUUAUUUAAAAAAUAAUAUAUCACUUAUAAUUAUAAUUACAAAUUAUUAAAAUUUGCAAAGUUUUAUUAAAUAGCCAAAUUUAAUGGCAAAUAAACGCGUUAGAUAAUAUAUUUGUUUUUUCUUCGAUUUUAAAAUUAUUUAUCGUGAAAAAAAGCAAGCUCCUGUGCGUCGAAUUAAUCUAAUUAUAAAAUAUCUAUUAUUAUAAACGGUUUUAUAUUUUUAUUGCAAAAAGAAUUGUUAAUACGGGGCUGAAAUAAAAGAGAAAUUGGUAAUUUCCGCUUAUUUGAAAAUGUUUCGCAACCUAACUAAAUUAUUUUACCUUUUUGGGUUAAUUAUAUACGCGAAUAUAUAUAAUUAUUCGCGUGAAAACGAAAAAUGUAAUAAAAGUAAAGGUUUUUACCAUAUAUUCUUAAAACCCAUUGAAAAUUUAAUUAAGAACUUGCAAUAAAAUUAUAAAUAAUUUUAACAAUUUUACAAAAAAAGAAAAAAUAAUCAAAUUGUAGCCCUAAAUAAUAUUUUUUAUUACAAAUCGAGAUUUUACGUAACAAUAAAUGGUAAUAUAAAAAAGGAAUCUCUGGAGCGUUAUUAUAAUAAUUAUAUAUUGGAUAUUAGGAAAUCGGUAAAAUUUUUAAAUUAAGUUGGAAGGAAUAUUAUUAGGAACAAAUAAAAAGAAUAUUAAUUUGUAUUAAAAAUUGUGCAAUAUUAAUAUAAUAAAAGAACUGGUAAAAUACCGCUAAUACGGUAUAUUAUAAUUCUUAUUUUUACCCUGGAAAAUUUGGGACGAAAUAUUUAUGGAUUUUAUUGUUCAAUUACCCAAUAUAAAAGACAAUUUUAUUACGGUGGAUAUUAUUCUAACUAUAAUAAAUAAGUAAAUUAAAAUGGCGCGGUUUUUAUUUUUAAAAAUAAUAUAAGUAUUCUCGAAUUUAUUUAAUCUUGUACCAGACAAAUCGAAUAAUAAUAUAGAUUUUUAUCAAAUAUUAUUACAAUUAAAAAUCAAUUAUUUACGAGUAGAUUUUCGAAAAGAUUAUAUUACAAGUUAAAUAUAAAAGAAUACAUAUUUAUAAUAUCCCAUUUGCAGCUAAACGGGCAACUUGAAAAGUUUAAUCAAACAAUUAAAUAAUAAUUUAAAUAUUACGUAGGAAAAUAAUAAAAUAUUUGGGCCCAAUUUCCACCUAUAAUUAAAUACGCAUAUAAUAACGCACCCUAAAAUAUAAUAUGUAUAUCGGCUAUAAUGGUAUUUAUGGGUAAAUAUGGAAAUUUCCAUUUAACACCCGUAAACGUAUUAUUAAAGAAAGGGAUAAAGUUUAUAUUAACAAUGCAAAAUAAAUUUAAACGCUGGAACAAUAUAAAAAAUAUUAUAAUAAAGAUAUAAAAUGAUGAAAUUAAACGAGGUAAUUGGGUGUAAUUAUUUAUUCGCGAUAUUAAAUAAGAAAAAGAAUAUAAAAUUUAAAUUUAAAUAUAUAUUGGGUUUUUUAGUAUUUUAUGUAAAGUGGGAGAAUGAAUGUAUCGCUUGGUUUUAUUAAUAUAAUUUAAUAAGUAACACGAUAUUUUUCCAACACAACCUUUUAAAUUAUAAAAACCCAGGAACCCAAACGAUUAUAAAAUUAUAUUUUGGCCCAAAUUUGACAACGAGGAAAAUAAGAACGUGUAAGAUAUUAAAGAUAUAUAAAUUAAAAGUAGUAUUAUUAUUAUUUGGUUAAAUAAUUUAAUUAGCCAACCGAAUAUGUUUAAAAAAUUCCCGAGGAAGAUUUAUCUGGAAUAAAUAAAAUAAAGCAAUUUCUAUACAAAUAAUUCGAAAAAGCCAAACCAAAGGUAAAAUUAUUAUUACAAAAUAAAAACGCAGGGGUUGAACGCACAAAACGCCCAAAAAACAAAGUUCUUCCGAAUUUAAUUAAUGUUAGCAAAUUAUUUAUAAGAAAAACCCGUAUUAAACCCAUAUUUAAUUUUGACGUUUAUUAAACAAUUCCAGAAACACACCAAAACGCUUUUUGGAAGACAACCCAAUCGAAAAUUAAUCCCGUCUAAUUGUACCAAAAAAACCAAACGUAAAACGCGAAAAAUUACACUAUUGGUAAAAAAACCGUUAUUUCGUUAAAAGGUAAGGCGAAAAGAAAUAAGAUGGCUUUUAUUAAAGCGAGGAAAUUUGAACCUAUUAUUAGUACGGCGAAACAAUUGGUUAAUUAUAAUUUUGGCGCCAAAAAUACGGGUAAACCUAUUUAAUAUAGUAAAUUUACGUUUUUUAAUACUUUAGUAAAUUUGGUCCGGAUUAGAUAUAAUAACGACGCCAGAUUUUAAUAUAAAAAGAAUCCCCAAUGAAAAAAUAAUAACCGGAAAAACACAGCCGAAUUUUUGAAAUUAACCAAGGACGGGAAAAUUACUAUAAAUUUAAAUUUAAAUAAGCCUAAAAAAACGACAGCAUUUGAACAAGGACCAAAUAUAUUAUUAAGAAUAAAAAUAUUAUUAUUAAUUACGGGUAUAAAAUCCCGAAAAGGACAAUGGGGUUCCACCCACGCCAUCUUUUAUUAUUUCCAAUAUAAUUAUAUUUUUUCGAAUUUUAUUUUUAUUAUUUGAAAAACGCGAUAAUAAAAAAACAACAAUGUAAAUUAAAAACCGUCAAAAUAUAAAAUAUACGUUAUCAAACCGUUUGGGAAAAACAAGGGGUUAAUUUAAAAGUUUUUCAAAUAAAAACAUUAAAAUUUACCAAAUUAAAAAUGUAAAAUUUAUAGUUCCAGGGUAAUAGUUCCUAACCGUUUUAGUUCCGUUCAAAAUAUACAAAUAAUUGGUUUUAUUUUUAAAUAGGCUAAUUUGGCCGAAAAAGUUGCGUUUGUUAAUUGUAAAAUAUUUGGCAAAUAAUAUAAAAUAUAUAAAACCCCUAAAUAACUUUUUAACUUUUCUAAAUAACUUUUUACCGGCGUCAAAUUGGGUGACGAAAUUUAUAAUAUUAAAUAUAUAAAAAGGGUUGACAAAAUUGCCUUUUAUAAUUAUUAUCGCCUGAUAUAAAUUAAUUGACAGAAUUGCAAAUUAGUAAAAAAUAAAAAAAGGCAGAAAUAACGCAGUUUGCUAAUUUGCAAAUACAAAAAAUAAUUAUAAUAAAACCUUUUUUUUAUAUUUUACCCGCUUUAAAUAAACGUUCCUUAAAUAUAUUUCAAAUCGGGGGAAUAUACGGUAUUUUUGGCGAUUUUAAUAACGAGACGAAAACAUUUUAUAUAAAUAAUGCGGUUAUAAAUUAUACGAAUACCAGCGUUAAUAUGAGCCGAAACCUGGGAACCGCGGGCGUUUUUUAGGUUAAAUUUGCCGCAAAACCAGGUGUAAAAAUAUAAUAAAAACUAAUAUAAAAUUUAAUUUAAUAUUAAAAAACGGGAUUAAAACGCAAAAAUAACGCGAGUGGAAAGUUUUAUAAUAUUUCGUAUUGGAAAUAAAAACAAAGGAAAAAGAAAUUUGAUUGAAAGUUUUUGCGGUAAAAAUUAAAAGGGUAAUUAACGUUUACGUUAAAUGGGGUUUACAAAUUGCUAACGUUAUAUUUAAUUUUUUAUAACGAAUACCGCCGAUUACCAAUGCGAAUUUACGCCGCACAAUUGCAUUUUAUUUACGUUUGUCAAAAAUUACCCCGUUAUAUAUUUAAAACUGUUAUUUAGGACGAAAACGCCAUUAUUAACAAAGGGAAUAAUUAUUACGUGCAAAUUUAUUUAUAUUUAAAUAUUAACGUAUAAUUUUGGGGGCUGAGUUUUGCUGAAUUUAUAAAUUCGCGUUAUGUAAGCGCAGUAGGACAGUCGUUUAUAAAUAGGGGUUUCUAAAUUUUAAAAGUUGCAGGUUAAUUUUGAAUUUUUUAAAAAUUAGUUUUUAAUUUAAAUGCUAUUAUUAUAAUAUUAUCGUGGAUGAUUAAACGUUGUAUUAUUACCCUGUAUUUUGUUGGUUAGCGUGUGCCUAACCAGUACCAAGUCCCCGGUCGUUAUAAUAUAAAAAACUACCCUAUUAAUAAAAAUAAUUAUGUUUUAUUAAUAAUUAAAACAAAGCACAAUAGCGGGGUUUGUAAUUAAACGCGGAAAUUUAAAUUUAUUAUAAAAAUAACAGCACGAUAAAUUAAUUUCGGUCCCAGUAUUAAAAAUAUUGUAAAGUUUACCUAAAAUCCAAAUUUGCAUUUUUCAACCAUUUAUUAAAGAAUUUCUAAUUCGGAAAUAAAAAUAACGAAAAAUUUAAAUAUAAACCAAGCCAUGUUUUAAAACGAGGUAAAUGUAAGGGAAUUAAUAGAUUAUUAGAGUUGAUAAACCGCAGGGAAAUUAAUAAACCUGUCAAAUUAAUUAAACAUAGUAAAUUUAAUAGGGUUUCCAAUGUUAAAAAAGAAAGUUACAAAUUUUUAUAUGGAAUUAUAAUUCGAUUUUAAAAAUCAAUUUAAAAUAAUUAAGGCGAUUUGAUAUAAUUUAUUUAAAAUAGGUUGUAAUUUGACUUUUAUAUUAAAAAAUAGUUUAUUUGAAUAACUUGCUAUAUUUCAGGGUAUAAUAUUUAAUAUAAAUCAAAUAUUUAUAAAUAUAAUAUUUAUUUACAUAAUAUA
rnacentral:sRNA from 1 species